rnacentral:rRNA from 1 species
UACGUAGGGUGCAAGCGUUGUCCGGAUUCAUUGGGCGUAAAGAGCGCGCAGGCGGCUUGGUAAGUCGGAUGUGAAAUCCCGAGGCUCAACCUCGGGUCUGCAUCCGAUACUGCCCGGCUAGAGGUAGGUAGGGGAGAUCGGAAUUCCUGGUGUAGCGGUGAAAUGCGCAGAUAUCAGGAGGAACACCGGUGGCGAAGGCGGAUCUCUGGGCCUUACCUGACGCUCAGGCGCGAAAGCUAGGGGAGCGAACUGG